rnacentral:lncRNA from 1 species
GUCUUCCUACUAAUGCCGAAUCGCUUAUCCCAAAAGCACAGGUUGUAAAAGUCAUAGGCUUCUCCCGAAGUAUCAAAACUCGUCCCCAAUGUCAGUACUAUGACAUUGUCCCCUGGAUUUUCCGAGAAACCUCGAAUUAUCUUCGGCAGCACCUGUCCUCACCCUGCAGUCAAUGUCACACGUGUAAAUAAUUGUAGUUCUCCAAAAAUAUUUAAAACUGUUACACACUAUGACAUUGUCCCCUGGAUUUUCCGAGAAACCUCGAAUUAUCUUCGGCGGCACCUGUCCUCACCCUGCAGUCAAUGUCACACGUGUAAAUAAUUGUAGUUCUCCAAAAUAUUUAAAACUGCUACACUCAAGUAGCACAUAAUGCGCCUAUUCGAGCAUGAUCAAGCUGUGUUGUUCGAUUCUAACAUCGGAACUGGCCGCCUUAUGGCAGCAUUGCACCAAACUUGUUUUCCCUCUGAGCUAUGUCUCUGUUUUGCUUCCUGUUCUAGCAUUUUUCACCUUUCCAAUCCUAAUGUGCCUAUUCGAGCAUGAUCAAGCUGUGCUGUUAGAUUCUAAUGUUUACUUAUGCUCCAGGGGUGUAUCCUCAUUUUUAUGAAUCUAGCAAUCAAAUUAAAAUCACACCCCGUUAAAACAAUCAUGGUUCAAUCCUAACACAGAACAGAGGACUGAAUAUACUUGAGCUGCAGCAUUCAGGAAUGCAUAGACUCUGAAUCUAUACUACAUGCGCUGACCAUUUAUUCAGCAGAUCACAUAUUCACAUACAUUACCAAAACCUAGCAGCCGUCCAUAGUCUUACUGCAAAGCCGUCAGUUCUGCAAAUUUCACACCCUCAAGACGUUUUCUACAUGUACAUCUGAAUCUCUUGGUCAUGUGUGCCAUCCGCCGCAACGCUAUAUUGCUAGUGUCACCAUACCUGCGUGUCCACGCCGGAGAUUUUGGGUCAAGCUGUUCAAUCGACUGCUCGGACACUUGCAGCUCCCUUCUCCUCCCGCCGCCAUUUGGGAAUAACUCCGGGAUGACUUCACACUUCACAUAAGAUACAAUCUUGCAUGAGAAGUAGAGUACCUUCUACUUAUAAUUUUUAGUUUCCUAUGAUCAAAUGUAGACAGUUAAAUGAAAGAAAUGAAUCUGUAGGUACUUAGUAGAUUUAUAACAACACGAGGUCAUGUAACAGGCAGAAUAUAGCAUCAUGAGAACAUAGGAUCGAGAUCAUAUCCCAGGCAUCAAAUUUUCCAUACACACAAUCGUACCCAACUAAUGGGCUUGGCUAAUAGUAGAACAUAAGAAAGCAUUAGUUAACUUAACAAUCACCUGGAAAGUCAGUAGGGCUAGAAACAUGAGAAACUAAAUAAGAUGGGUAUGACUAAAAACAAAAUAGCAUGGUGCAGGUUCUUGUAGUGAAAUAGAUUGAUGGUUACGUAAGCAAUUCUACAAAAACAAUUCA